AUGAAUGGCAAACCGAGGAGGAUGAGCUGAUGCUGCUAUGCAUGAAGAUUUGCGAAUAGGGAAUGUAAGACAUGUCACAGGAAGGUUGCAUGAAUUCAUUCCAAGUCUUGCGUGGACAAAACAACAAGACAAAGGAAAGGCAACACAUCUAAUCAGUCAGCUGUCAAAAUGCCUAGAUGCCGACUAAGAUCUGAGAUCAUAUCACUUACAAAGCAUGACUGGAGGACAUGGCUGCUGAAAACCUGAAUGAUCAUGUGAUAGAAGUUGAUAGUAAAGUAUGCAGAAGCAACCAUCACAGCCGGAAGCAGUCCCUGCAUCUACGAGCUAUUACAUAUUCUUAGAAUUCUGUAAUAUUAGACUAAAGACAAGUUAAUUUUGUUUUCAUUAUCCUCUGGACAAUGCGUAUACGAGCUAGCUCUUCCAAAAUUUAUAUCUUCUGGAUCCCUCGUAUGUUAGGGUCUUGUGGAUGCUACUUUUCUUUAUCUAUAAAGCAGGGUUAUGGCCUGAUUUCUUAAACCAUCAAUAAAAGAGAUCAAGAGAUGCAUAUAUACCAUGGAUGUUGCAACGACUUACCUUCCUGUAGGCAGCAUUUAACCUGAUAUGCUUGUUCCUGAAACACUCAGGUAAAGGGUUAUCAGAUAUAGAAAUACUUGUAAUAUAAGAAAAAUGAAUAUCCAUAUCCAUCUUUAAUGUUAUCCCAAAAUCUUUGGUGCAGUUAUUCUCUAACUUAUUUCAUAUAUAAAAUUUUCUCUCAUGGUUUAACAAUACUACAUCCAUUUGAGCAUACUAAGAUUCUCUAACUGUGAGAUAUAUUCAACAAAAAAGGUGGAGCACUUAUCAAAUGAUAUAUUCAUGCUUUAUUGUUUUGUAGUGAAAGAAUAUCUCUUUUGAUAUAUCUCUCCUUUCAAGUAACAGAAAACAGUCAAAAACAGUGAUCGACUUGACCAACAUUCUUUUAUUUUGAACAACCUAUAUUCAUUUCAGCAAAUAAUGAUUUAUGGGUGUAUAAAUUUUUUUCUUUUGUUCAAUCAACAUUUUUUCCUGAAACCAAGAAGCAGAUUUAAUCAAAGGGUUGUUCAGUUGUUAUACAUUCUCAUAACUAUUGAUUCACACUGUCUAGCAUUAGCACACACUACACAGAACAAACAUGUACAGAAAAACUGAAUGGAGGACACCCUGCAUUGCCACUGGAUUGCUAGUAACUAAUCCUUACCUACAGUUUUUGGAUGUUCUAUUUACUUCACAGCAAUCAAGAGAAAGUAAUGCACCAAAAGAAGAUGACUAUCCGUAAAUAUUUAUAGUGAUAGGUUAUAUUGAUCUUCCUCAUGAUCCAUACAUAUUGCAUAAUCUGUUCUGAUGAGUACACACACACAUUCUGUUUGUGCCUUGUGCAACGCAAAGUACAGGGCGACACACAUGUCCUUUUC